UGUAGAGUGGCAUAGUGGUUCAAGGGUUGGACUACUACUCUAGAGACCAGGGUUCGAUUCCUAGCUUGGCCA